rnacentral:rRNA from 1 species
ACGAGAAAGCUUUCUUCGGAAAGUGAGUACAGUGGCGAACGGGUGAGUAACACGUGGGUAAUCUGCCCUUAGGUUGGGAACAACACUUCUAACGAGGUGCUAAUACCGAAUAACAAAGCCGAUUGCAAAAUCAGCUUUUAAAGGUGGCCUCUACUUGUAAGCUGCCGCCUGAGGAUGAGCCCGCGCCGUAUUAGCUUGUUGGUGGGGUAAUGGCCUACCAAGGCAACGAUGCGUAGCCGGCCUGAGAGGGUGAACGGCCACACUGGAACUGAGACAAGGUCCAGUCUCCUACGGGAGCCAGCAGUCUAGAAAUUUGCACAAUCGUCGAAAGACGGAUGCAGCGACACCACGUGGAGGAUGAAGCCCUUCGGGGUGUAAACUCCUGUCAGUUGGGAAGAAGGCGCGAGUGUUAAUACCACUUGUUGCUUGACGGUACCUUCAGAGGAAGCUCCGGCUAACUACGUGCCAGCAGCCGCGGUAAUACGUAGGGAGCGAGCGUUGUUCGGAUUUACUGGGCGUAAAGAGCACGUAGGCGGGCAUGCAAGUCGGUUGUGAAAUCCUCUGGCUCAACCAGAGAACUGCAAUCGAAACUGCAUGCCUUGAGUCCAGCAGAGGAAAUCGGAAUCUUAGGUGUAGCGGUGAAAUGCGUAGAUAUCUAAGAGAACAUCAGUGGCGAAGGCGGAUUUCUGGGCUGGCACUGACGCUGAGGUGCGAAAGCUGAGGUAGCGAACAGGAUUAGAUACCCUGGUAGUCUCAGCCGUAAACGAUGGGUACUAGGUGUUGGGGGACAUUGACCCCCUCAGUGCCGUAGCUAACGCAUUAAGUACCC